UCCAGAGAUGGAUUGGUGCCUUCGGGAACUCUGAGACAGGUGCUGCAUGGCUGUCGUCAGCUCGUGUUGUGAAAUGUUGGGUUAAGUCCCGCAACGAGCGCAACCCUUAUCCUUGUUUGCCAGCGAGUAAUGUCGGGAACUCCAGGGAGACUGCCGGUGAUAAACCGGAGGAAGGUGGGGACGACGUCAAGUCAUCAUGGCCCUUACGAGUAGGGCUACACACGUGCUACAAUGGCGCAUACAGAGGGCGGCCAACUUGCGAAAGUGAGCGAAUCCCAAAAAGUGCGUCGUAGUCCGGAUUGGAGUCUGCAACUCGACUCCAUGAAGUCGGAAUCGCUAGUAAUCGUGGAUCAGAAUGCCACGGUGAAUACGUUCCCGGGCCUUGUACACACCGCCCGUCACACCAUGGGAGUGGGCUGCAAAAGAAGUAGGUAGUUUAACCUUCGGGGGGRCGCUUACCACUUUGUGGUUCAUGACUGGGGUGAAGUCGUAACAAGGUAGCGCUAGGGGAACCUGGCGCUGGAUCACCUCCUUAAACGAUGAU
rnacentral:rRNA from 1 species